rnacentral:tRNA from 1 species
ACAUAUAGUAGCUCAAUUGGCAGAGUCCUAGGUUUGGGACCUAGAUGUUGAAGGUUCGAGUCCUUUCUACUAUA